rnacentral:rRNA from 1 species
UAGGGAAUCUUCGGCAAUGGACGGAAGUCUGACCGAGCAACGCCGCGUGAGUGAAGAAGGUUUUCGGAUCGUAAAGCUCUGUUGUAAGAGAAGAACGAGUGUGAGAGUGGAAAGUUCACACUGUGACGGUAUCUUACCAGAAAGGGACGGCUAACUACGUGCCAGCAGCCGCGGUAAUACGUAGGUCCCGAGCGUUGUCCGGAUUUAUUGGGCGUAAAGCGAGCGCAGGCGGUUUGAUAAGUCUGAAGUUAAAGGCUGUGGCUCAACCAUAGUUCGCUUUGGAAACUGUCAAACUUGAGUGCAGAAGGGGAGAGUGGAAGUCCAUGUGUAGCGGUGAAAUGCGUAGAUAUAUGGAGGAACACCGGUGGCGAAAGCGGCUCUCUGGUCUGUAACUGACGCUGAGGCUCGAAAGCGUGGGGAGCGAACAGGAUUAGAUACCCUGGUAGUCCACGCCGUAAACGAUGAGUGCUAGGUGUUGGAUCCUUUCCGGGAUUCAGUGCCGCAGCUAACGCAUUAAGCACUCCGCCUGGGGAGUACGACCGCAAGGUUG